ensembl:scaRNA SCARNA7 small Cajal body-specific RNA 7
UGGAAAUGAUGAAAUGGAGGUUAACAUGUAGAGGGAUGAAUGUGAAUCGAAGAGCAUGAUUGUUUUAUUCAGUAUAUGUAAAAAGUAAAUGUGUGUGUGAGUGAAAGAAUGUGUGUGGUGCAUGUCUGCAUUUAGGGCCAAAUAAUGAUGCAAACUGUGGACACUGAAAAGAAUUGCUGAUAUUGGAGUGCAUCUGAGGCACAGUUGCUAAGUCAUAGGGCCUUUGCUGCAACAUUGCCUGUGAUUAAAGCCCAAAAUAUGUUCACAGUUUGUAUCUAUAAAUUGUAAACCUCUGACAUGUUCUUUUAGUCAUAUAAAUGAAUAUGUAAUCUGAUCCAA